rnacentral:sRNA from 1 species
UCCGUUUCCAGUUCUCUCUUUCGCAAAUCUCUGCUUCCUUUGCUCUCAACUUGCCUUCUGUCACUCUCAAACGCCGGUUUGUACUCGGCAAAGUCUGUGAAGGACCAAUAUCGGAGGAAACGGUGAUGUUCGUUCUCCCAGCUAUUGUGUUCGCAUUUACAUGCUGGUUGUGCUUCAGCUUGCUUGCUUAUGGAUGAACGAUGCGGUGCCAAAACUCUAUCUCCAAUAGUGAAACGCAUUAACCGUUUUUUGUUAUUUUGUAUCAAACAAUAUUGAUAAUAUUUGCCUGCCAUGUAAAUGUCUCUUUGGUCUGAACUUCAUAAUAUUUUUUGCAUGUAUACCAGCAUUCAUUAAUUUUUUGUAUAUAAAUGCUGGUUCCACUUGAGAGGUAGAUGCAAGUGGUAGAAUCCAAUCAAUCACUAUAUUGUUUUUUGUCUAUCUGUAAACAGGUUUCAAUCUUUUGUUUUAGGAUUGUACAAGUUUAAUAUUUUAUGUAUAAACAACUUCCAACAUCUUUGUUUACGGUG